rnacentral:rRNA from 1 species
AACGAACGCUGGCGGCAUGCCUAACACAUGCAAGUCGAACGAGACCUUCGGGUCUAGUGGCGCACGGGUGCGUAACGCGUGGGAAUCUGCCUUUCGGUUCGGAAUAACUCGGGGAAACCCGUGCUAAUACCGGAUGAUGUCGCAAGACCAAAGAUUUAUCGCCGAAAGAUGAGCCCGCGUAGGAUUAGCUAGUUGGUGAGGUAAAGGCUCACCAAGGCGACGAUCCUUAGCUGGUCUGAGAGGAUGAUCAGCCACACUGGGACUGAGACACGGCCCAGACUCCUACGGGAGGCAGCAGUGGGGAAUAUUGGACAAUGGGCGAAAGCCUGAUCCAGCAAUGCCGCGUGAGUGAUGAAGGCCCUAGGGUUGUAAAGCUCUUUUACCCGGGAUGAUAAUGACAGUACCGGGAGAAUAAGCCCCGGCUAACUCCGUGCCAGCCGCCGCCGUAACAC